CCGGGAGAGCCCAGGGACAGGGCAGUACCCCAAGGGCAGCUCGUUGCGGCUGGCGGCUCCGGAAGUGCGCGCGCCCAGCCUUAAUCGGAGCGCCAGUGAGGCGUUGUGGAGCUCACGGGAAACGUGCAGUUGGCGGGUCCCGCGGAGAGUCCGCCCACCCGCAGUCCUGUCACGCCCUCCCUGCCGACGGAGCAGAGGAACCGCCGAGCCGCGUCCGUCGCCCCUGUCGUCCGCCCCUAGCUGUCUCGCCAUGGCCUCGCGCCUCCUCCUCGGGUCCCUGCGCGUCCUGGGCCGCUGCUGCGCGCCGCGCCCGUCGCCCGCCGUAAGGUGAGAGCUGCAGGGGUGCGGGGCGGGGGCCACGCCGCCCUUCCCGGGGUCUUGGAGGGGAUGGCAUCCCCGGGCCGGGCCGCCGCGAGCCUGGGACGAGCGGAUGGGCCUGGUCCCUGGCUCUCAGAGCGGGGCCGCCCCCUCCGCCGAGCCGGAGAAGAUUUCGCCAAAUGCGCGUUCCGGAGCCGUAUCUCGCCCGGCUGGUGCCACGGCCUCGGCGGGACCCGGAGCUGGAAAAUGCAGUUCGGAUGCUCCCGCAACCGCGCUGCGACCUUUGGCCUAGUUAGGACUGCAGCGUGUGACAGCCACCUGAUAGCGAACUUGGGACCAGCGCUCAGCCCGCCGCGACGCGGCGGAAAAAAGUGGCCAGGGCCAAUAAUCCAAUACAAAUGACCUGGCGAGCUCCCCAUCAGACAAAGAAUCAGCUUUAGAUUUAUUAGCAAUCCAUCAACUAAUUAAAUACAGAGGGAUUAUUGAAGGAGCUUCUAAGUGGCUCAGUGACUAUUAAGGUGGUAUUUUAUAAUAAGAUAAAACGUUUCGGACACCGUCUGAUGCAUAAAAUCCAUUCAUUGGAUAAACAAACUGGAAGCACAUAGGAUUCAUUAUUUAAUUAGGGUGAGAGGGCAGGUAAAUGGUCUAAUUACUACAUUGUUUUGAAGUAAGGCACUCAGCUGCAAGACUUAAUGCUUACUCUUGGGGAGGUUCAGGAGGCCUCACCGAAUUGGCCACUUUAGCAUACACAUACUUUUCUAAGUUCAACCCCAGAAUAUCAUACUAGAGUAACCCUGAAAGUUGUGGUAUCAGGCCUUAUUUAUGCUCUUAAAAUUAUAGGACCCCAAAGAUCAGUUCGCUAUUUUAGUUGAAGUAUGGGAAGAAAGUCUAUCCUUACGAAGGGGAUAUUAGAAAAGGAAAGACUUGAGACACUCUUUCAUUCAUCAGACUAUAGUUUUAGUGUAACAGACUUCUUAAACUUAUAUGUGCAUAUAAAUCACUUGGGGAUCUUGUUAAAAUACUCAUUCUGAUUCCAUAGGUCUGAAGUUAGGCCUAAGAUUGUGUAUUUAUAACCAGCUUUCAGUUGUUGAGGGGUGCGCUGAUGGAGAUUAUUUGCUUUCGAAAAUGUAAAUGAGGCGGAAUUUACAGAGCCCAGUCUGGAAGGUUAGUAGUUUAUGGCCCUAGUAAAACAGAGCCUCUUUGAAAUCGAAAGCAACCUCCUGAGAGCUGCUUUUCUACAUAUGUAUAUUCCUUGCCCUUUGUCUACUGUGCUUCCUUUUAUAAAAGUUUCAAGGCCCUUGUGUCCCUGAAAAUGUAAUGUUUUGAACAACUAAUAAAAAAAUAGUAAAAAAAAAAAUGAAAAUGAAGAUUUAAGAAAGAAAAAGAUCUCUUCUAUCUUCUUGAGAGCCGGCUUUGAAUAACCUGUUUUGCUCACCAACCAACCAGUCUCCCAAGUUUUGUGGAGGGUUGUGAAUGGUAAAGCCUCUUGCUCCUAUUUUCAAUAGGGGAGAAAAGGCCAAUUUAUUUGGUAAAGGAUAAACUUGCUGCUAAGUGUUUUGAUUUCUUCCCACUAUGUAGUCUCUCUUGACCACCUGGGCUGACCUUAACAUCUUUAUUUUUUUCUUGGCAUUUCUUUUGCUUUCAUGUGUCCUAGUGUAUUUUACUUGGAAAAGAUUUCCUUAACAUAAUAUAGGAUAUAAAAAAUUAAGAUCCAAUUGAACUUGAAAAUAAAUUGUCUUUACUAUUAUUUACAAAUGAUUCAGUGUUUUAAUAAGGCAGGAAAGAAGAAAAAGAAUAUGUAGAAAGAAAAUGUAUAAUAUUUACUAAAUUAAGAAAAUAAUUUUAAGUUUCUUCAUACCUUUCCCAGCCUGUCACUCUCCAAGCCAGUCUCACUUCAAGGCCUUUUUCCCUCAAGUUUCUGGGAAAUCAUAAAUCCUAAAGUUACUGUAAAUUCACCCAUUUAUGAAAAUUACCUUGUGCAUUGUUCAUUAGUCUACCAAUAAAUAGUUUACAUAAAGACAGAUAGGACAUUUUAAUAAAUCUAUCAUUUAGGAGACUUUCCAAUAUUAUCUAUGGGUCAGAUAAUGGAGACCACAUCAGCCUGUCAGACUGAUGUCACCCUCACAUACAUUUCCUAACCCAUCCCUCAUCAAGUUUCCUUUAAAAGAAGACCUGGGAACCUGAAAACAGGUCUCUCGCUCUUAAGGUAGCACAUAUUCUCCCUUGAAUGUGUUUUCUUUCCUUUCCUAAAUAAGUCUUUAUCCCUCUACUGACACUUGCUGAAAUUCUUUUCCUUCAACACUGGCCCUGGGUCCAGCCCCACUCCCUCCUCCGAGAGCUCCUCCAGACCCUCUUCUAGAGGUAUUUCUUCUUUUGUGACAUGAGCUGGCUUAUUUUUUCCCUAGAAGAAGAAUACCAACUAUGGAUAAUCUAUAUGGACACAUAUAUACUUAUAGUUUUAUUUUUAGUGGCAAGAAAUUGGAACCGAUCAUUUCAACUGGAGGGAUAAAGUAAAUUUUAGUUUACUCAAUGCAACAUGACAGUGGUCUGUAAGGACCUUUCAUGUUCUGGUUUCCUUUUGUCUCUGCCUUUAUAUAAAUAUUUUCCACUCAUUCCACUGUAGCCACACUUGGCCUUCUUGCUGUUCCUAGAUUACACCAGACACCAUCCAGAUUGAAAUAACCUAAAUGUUAACAAGCAAGACUGAUUAAUAAUAGUAUAUUAAGCUGAUUUACUGUAACUCUUAAAGAUGAUAAUUAGGAAGGCCUUAGUCAUAUUUUAAUGUCUAGUUAAAAGCUCUUUUAAAAAAAACUUUAAGUCUACUUAUCACAAGAAAUAGUUCUUUUCUAGACAAAUACUUUAAAAAAUUUACAAAGCAGAGUCCCACUAAGGAAAUUUAAUAGGAAACAAAAACAUGUUUGGAUAAUAUUUGAGUAUAUGAUACAAGUUUUUUAUAUGUGAGCUGGAAAAUGUUCAAAGGAAUUCACAGAUUUUCAAAAUUUCUUCCAGAGGGGGAAAAAACCUUAAAGAAGAUUGAACUAAAGGAACUGUAAAGAGCAGUCUCAUUUUAAGUUUGGUGGGUGGGGUUGGGUGGGAUGGGGUUGGAAGAGAGGGGAAGGAUUAGUUCCUGAAGUUCUUGAAUAAUCCCAUACAAAUCCUUGCAGAGACUGGUGGGCAUUUAAUAUACAUUUGGUUUGUUUCUGCAUUGUGGUAAUAACAUCAACACAGUUUAUAUCUUAUGUACCAGCCAUUUAAAAUGAUGGGAUUCUGGAUAAAAUACUAAUUUUGGAGGGUUUGCAUUAUUUUAAACAUUGCAUAUGGUGUGAAAACGGUAUUAUUUUAUUGUACUGUUUGCAUUUUACAUUAUUUAAUCUAUGUAUCUUGUGAUAACACUAUAUUUUACCUGCAGUGAGUACCAGGUGUUAUCCUCUUUAGAAAUUUGGAAGUGGAGACUGAGUUGACUAAUGAUAAAUUGCUUCUUAAUUCCAGUGAGGUAGGGGACAUCCUAUGAAAAGUGGUGAUGCUUUAAAGUGUCUCUAGGAAACCUAUGUUGUUCAGUAGCAUUAAUUUGGCUAUGAAGAGUAACAAUUCAUUUACUUUUUCUUAAUGCAUUUUUUUAAAGAUGUUCUCAUUCUGGAGGGGAGAAACGUUUGGAAUCUCCUUCUGCUAAAAAAUUAACAGAUGUAGGACUUAGAAGAAUCUUUUCUUCAGAGCACGACAUUUUCCGGGAAAGUGUAAGGAAGUUUUUUCAAGAAGAAGUGGUUCCUCAUCAUUCAGAGUAAGCUCACCUACCUUCAUGUUUCAAUGUUAUAUAAAAGCGCCAAAUAUGAAAAUAACUAUUUCCUAGAAUGUUGUAUAUUGUGCAGAAAAAAUAAUGUCAGUGCUUUACUAACAUUUUUAUUGUUCUUCACCAUAAUCCUGUAAUAUCCUAGGAUUCUUAAGUUUAUAACUUUUUAAAUGAUUUGCGCUUUUUUUGUUUUGUUUUGUUUUGUUUUUAAGAUAGGUCUCACUGUGUUGCCUAGGCUAGUCUCCUGAAUCAUGGAAUCAAGUGAUCCUCACUUCUCACCCUCCUGAGAAUCUGGGACUACAUGAAUGUGCCAUCAUACCUGGUUAUCUUAAUUUAUUUAUUUUUCUUCCCCACAGUGCUUAAGAUAGAGCCCAGAGCCUUGCCCAUGCUGGGUAAGUGCUCUGCCAAUGAGCUACAUUUUUUUUCCUGUUGUACUGGGGCCUCAUAUAUUCUAUAUGAGGGCCUCAUAUAUUCUAGACAAGAGUUCUACCAUGGGAGCUAUAUCCCCAGUCUUAAAUGAAUUUUUAAAUGUAUAACGUACAGUUCAAUAGUGAGAAUAUUAAAAAAUUUGAAAUUUACUCAAGAAAAGUAUUUUUUGAAAACUAUGGUUAAAUAGCAGCAAACUGCUAGUCCAUUUCAUAUUCUUUCUUUUUCUGUUUUAUGAAUGAAUUAAAGGAAAGCUCAAAAGGCCAGUGGAGUACAAAUCUUCGUAGCUGAUCAGCCACUACCUCUGAGCUACAUUUCCAGCCCUCUUUAAAACUUUUUUGAGAUAGGAUCUUGCUGAGUUGCUCAGGCUGGCUUUGACCUUGCAAUUCUCCUGCCCUACUCUCUCCAGUCACUGGAAUUACAGACAUGUGCCACCAUACCCAGGUUUUAUAUUAAUACUUUCUUGGUUAUAAUGACCAAAAUUAGCUAAACUCAGAAGCUGUGACUGGUCUGGUGAAAAGCAAUCAGCUUUUUGAAGAUAAAAGAAAUAAAACAUACUUAAUUCUAGGAGAGUCUUCUUUUUUCUUUUUCUUUCUUUCUUUCUUUCUUUUUUUUUUUUGUACCAGGGAUUGAACCCAAUGGCACUUUACCACUGAGCCUCAGUACUAUUUUUAAUUUCCAAACAAGAUCUUGCUAAGUCGUUGCUGAGGGUGACAUUAAAUUUAUGAUCCUACUGCCUCAGCCUCUUGAGAAUUACAGGUAUGCACCACUGUACCUGGCUUCUUUGCUGCUUUUCAAUUUUGUUUCACAACUAUUGUUGAGAAUGCCUUGAAAUAAAGAUAAUAGAGUUGGCAGAUUUUGAGUGGAGUACUCAAAUAACCCAUAUCUUACUAACUGAAUCUACCACUUAAAAAAAAACAAAAAUAUUUUCACAUUUUUUUCACUAUUUCUGACUAUCCAUGGUUUCCUUACUAUGCUAUUUCCAUUUUUAAAGAAGAAAAGCUAGGGAUGGGCCUUUAGCAAGCUUGAGGCCCCCCAGUUGGGUGGGGGUAAGGGAGGAGAUGGCACAGUCUUCUCAGAAAUUCAUUUGACAGAUAGAUCUAUGCUGUAAGGUGCUUCUGCUUUCCUGUCAUUCCAAUUUAAAUGUAAUGAGGUGGUUUCCUCAUGUCAGCUUUCAUAUGCUAUAAAUUCAGGAAAGAUGCAGAGAAUUGUCUUUACAAGACAGGUUAGGCAGAUUCCCAUGACUAUAUGGCAUAACUAAGCUUGCAUGCUGCCAGCACCAACCAGCAAAACUGUACUCAUGAAUUUCAGUGGGUGUAUUUUAUAGGUCGAAUAAAUAGUGAAGAAAGAAGGCAGAAAGUGCCAAAUAUGAAGAAGAAAGGAAAAGAAAAAGAAGGAGAAAUGAUUAAGUAGAGUCCAGUUACAAAUAGAAGGGUAUGACCAGUGUGCAUAGUUAACCUUAAACCAAGGAUGCAUUCCUGCACAAAAUUAUUCAAAGUGUGGCCAUUUAAAUAAUUUGAAAGAAAUCUAUCUGAUUUUUAAAUAUUUAAUUGCAGAUGGGAGAAAGCUGGAGAAGUGCCUAGGGAACUCUGGGAAAAGGCUGGAAAACAAGGGCUGCUUGGAGUCAAUAUUGCAGAGCAGCAUGGUGGUAUUGGUGGUGACUUGUACUCCACAGCUAUUGUUUGGGAAGAGCAGUAAGUAUGGAGACAUUUGAAGUUGAGUCAUGUUUUGAAUGUUCAUUUUUUUCAAAUGAUAAUAAAAAAUGCUUUCUGAUCUUCUGGGAAGAUUGAAAAUUCAGUGUAAAAUGUGAAAGAUUAUGGCACUUAUACUAUUGUGCAUUUCUUUUUUGGGGAUGGGUGGAUGGAGCUGGUAGCAGGGAUUGAACUCAGGGGCACUCAACUGCUAAGCCACAUUCCCAGCCCUAUUUUAUAUUUUAUUUAGAGACAGGGUCUCACUGAGUGGCUAAGUGCCUCACUAAGUUGCUGAGGCUGGCUUUGAACUCAUCCUCCUGCCUCAGCCUCCCAAACUGCUGGAAUUAUAGGCAUGUGCUACUGUACCUGGCUCCUGUGCAUUUCUUAAAUGUGGGAAAUCAGAAAAUCCUCUUUUAUGUUGUUGAAAUAGGUACUGUUGAAAGUUAAAGAGUUAAUUUCUGGUUGGCUCAUAUGGUUAUUUUUUCCUUUUAAAAAGAUAUUUUAAAGAGAACAGCAGAAUGGAAAAUUAUUAUCAAAUACACUAGAAGUCUAAUAUAUAAGAACAAAGGUUUCAGUUAAAAUGGACAAAAGAUUUGAAGGAACAUCUUUAUAAAAAAAUGAGUUCGGUUUUUUUUUGUUUUGUUUUUUGUUUGUUUUUGUAGUUGUAGAUGGACUUGUUUAUUUUUAUGUGGUGCUAAAGACUGAACCCAGUGCCUCACACAUGCAAAGCAAGUGCUCUGCCACUGAGCUACAACCCCAGCCCCAAUUAGGCUUUUUUAAGUAGAAAAAGUUCAUCCUUACUACCAACCAAAAGUAAAUUAAGUUAACCUGGAGGUACCAUUAUAUAUAUUAAAAAAAUUUAUGAAAAUGAGAAUUCUUAUCACAUAGUGUUGACAGUGGUAAAAGUGGCAUAUUCAUAUACUACUGGUGACAUUAUAAGGGGAUUAAAAUGGUAAAUAUAUGUAUAAAAAGUAAAAAUUUGUUCACUCUGAUUUAGAAUGGCAUUUGGGGGAAUUUAUCUGAAAAAUAAUUUAAUAGGAAAAAAUAGAAGCUAUGUUCAGAAAUCAUUAUCAUGUUAGAUCAUAAUCGCCAAAAUUUUGAAGCAAUUUAAAUCUGUAACAGUGAGAUAAUGAAUAAGAAAAUCAUGGGACAUAAAUAAUUUGGAAUAUUUCGCAGCUUUUUAAGAUUAUAAUAAAAAAACUAAGUUAAAAAGAGGAUUUUUGUUAUGUCAUAUACUUUAAGAAGAAAACAGCAAAGUAAAAAAUUCAUAGGGACUACAUCUACAUUAGGAUAUAUCCAAAGAUAAUUUUCCAUAAUAAAAAUAGUUGAUGUGUUAGGGUUAUACAAUUGUAGAUGAUCAGUAAUUUAUUUCUUAAUUCUUUAAAUAAUUAUUUAUUGAGCUGUUAGAACAGUGUUACUAUUUUAGAACCAACAAUAAAAAGAAGAGUAAAAACAACAUUCAGGAAGGUCAUAGGUUUAUGAGGAAACAGGCUGUUUGCACACAACCUACCACACAAUCAAGAUCUUUAAUACUUUAUUGUUCCAAUAGUCAUUUUUAAUUGAAAAUUAAAGACACUAAGAGUAGAACAAAAUAACUAUCUUAUGUUUUUAAUACUUUUUUUUCUUUUUAAGAGCAUAUUCAAAUUGUACAGGGCCAGGUUUUAGUCUUCAUUCAGAUAUCGUCAUGCCUUAUAUUGCCAACUAUGGCUCAAAAGAACAGAUUGAGCACUUCAUCCCCCAGAUGACGGCAGGCAAAUGUAUUGGUGCCAUAGCAAUGACAGAGCCUGGUGCUGGAAGGUAAGUCAACCUUCUUUUGGUUUUAAAUUCUUGGAAGCAGUGCCCUAAUAACAAACAUUUUCUUAGUAUGUUUGGCUCUCCAUAUUUGUCAGUUCUGCAACCAUGAAUUCAAAUGACCUCAAAUCAGAAAUACUCAAAAAAAGAAAAAAAUUGUGUCUGUACUGAACAUGUACUUUUUUCUUGCUACUGAGCUACAACCCCAGCCCUUUUUAUUUUUUAUUUUGAGACAUGAUGUUGCUAAAAAAAUUGCCCAUGCUGGCCUCAAACUUGCAAUCCUCCUGCCUCUGCCUCCUGAGUAGCUGGUAUUACAGUAGCCCAGCAGAAAAGUCUUUACUUUAAUAACUAAAAUUUAAGGUAAAUACUCAAAGAGAAUAUCUUAGUUUCCUGUGGCUUCUGUAGCAAACUACCACCAAAGUUUAUGACUUAAACAACAGAAAUGGAUUCUUUAAACAAUUUGGAAGGCCCAAAAUCCAAAAUCAGUAUCAUUGGGCCCCAAAUUAGUUAUCAGGAGAGCCAAGCAUCCUCCAGAGGGCAGAGAGAAGAAUUUACUCCUUGUGUUUCUAUCUCCUGGUGGCUCCUGGUGUUCCUUGGCUUAUUGCCUUUGUGACCACAUUGCUUUCUCCUUUUCUGUUUAUGGAAUCUUCCUCUCUUAGUCUUUCUCUCCUAAGGACAUUUGUGAUUACAUUUACAGGUCAUCCAGAUAAUUCACUAUAAUCUUCCCAUCUCAACAUCCUUAAGUUAUACUUUUCCAUAUAAAGCCACAUUUAUAGAUUUUAGGGAUUACAACCUGAUAUUUUAGGGGUCAUUAUUCAUCCAAAUAAAGAGUUAUAAAAAAGAAAAUGUGUCCUGGAGUAUAAAAAUAUAAAGACCACAUAGAAGAAGAAUCAGAAAAAUUUCACAAUAUAUGUGGACUAUUUAUUUAUAAUGCUAAUCACUGUAGGUUUUUGAAACCUAAAUUUCUAACAAUAGAGGAUUGUUAGUUAAAAAUCAUGGUAAAUUCACAUGAUGAUAUUCUAUGUAGAUAAAAAAACAUUGGAUAUUAUUAUGUAUGGUUCCAGUUUUACAUAUGUACAUUUAUAGGUGUAUCUAAAUCUAUGGAAAAAUAAUUGCAAGGAUGUAUUUUUAAAAUGUUCAGGAGAUAAAUUCAUUUGUUAAAUAAAUUUUCUUUGGAAUACUUUCUAUAUUUCUUUAUAUUUUAAUUAAAAUACUGUUUAGAUUUUUAAAAAAUUCUACUUUUAGAGCAAGUUUGUUACAAAAAACAGCAUUUUAGAUGUAGUCUUUUUUUUUUUUUGGCAGUAUUUGUUUUUGGGUAUUGAAUACCGGGUCUUAUAUAUGCUAGGUCAGCACUUUACCACUGAAGUACAACCUCAGCUAUUUUUUAAUUUUAAAACAGAAUCUCGCUAUAUUGUGAUCCUUCUGCCUCAGGGUUCCAAAUAGCUAGGAUUACAGGAGUGUGCCAGCACAUCUGGUGAGAAAUAGUAUUUUUAAUAGCUAAAUUCUUGAUGAGAAGAAGUAGAGGAAGGAACCAAAGUAUGUAAAGGUAGGUAAAAUAUAUUGUGAUAACAGAAUUUCAAGAGUGAGCCAAUUUGUGGUUUUGAGCAUUGUUGGGCUUUUAUGUAUUCUAUGAAGUCUGGCUAAUUUAUUUAAUUUUUGUUUUUUUGCUGUGCUGGGAAUCAAACCCAGGGGUUGAUAUGCUAGGCAAGUGCUCUACUACUGAGCCACAUCUCCAGCCCAAGGUUAUUUAAUCUUAAUCAUACAUUCAUUCAUAGAAUGACUAGAAUAUAAUAUAUUAGACAUGAUUUUUUUAGUUCAAUUGUGUGAACAUUUCUUACAUUAAGAUUUUUAUAAUGGCAUAUCCAGUUUGAAUGAUCACAUUGUAUAUAUACUUAUAUAAUAGCAUUUGUCUAAUUUCUUUUUUACCAACUGAUGAAUUUUUUUAUCUUUUCUUUCAAUUACAGUGACUUACAAGGAGUAAGAACAAAUGCCAAAAAGGAUGGAAGUGAUUGGAUUCUCAAUGGAAGCAAGGUGUGUAAAGAGGGACUUCUCUGACCCUUCUUUCCAGAGUCAUGCCAUGGGUAAUGAUGUUAUUAUGUAAGGAUUCACUUAGGAAUUGUUUACUUAAGUAUUUGUGAGGUGGAGAGAAAUUUACAAGUUAUUUACAUGACACAAGAUCUAUGGUAACCCAUCUGUGUUCUAUGCUGCAUAUGUUCUUAAAAAUACCUCAAAGGUGGUUUUAGCUUCCAAACAGCUCUUCUCAAAAAAGAGAAAAGUGGGAAAGUUAGGUUUAUAUUACCCCAACAUGGGACAGACAAUAGCUGAACUUUAUGAAAGACUGGGGAAAAAGCUUUCUGAUAAAUAUCAAAAAGAGUUUGAAAGAUACCAGAUCAUAGAAUCCUUUUCAAUCCUAUGUACAGAUUUAGAGAGCUCCUCUAAACCGGAUCACAGAUGGUUCAAGAGCAAACAUAUCUCUUAGAACCUAAUAUCGUUCAGGGAAAAUGAUACCUAGAAUUAUGUCUGGUAUAUACUUAGUAUAUAUUUUUUGUUGACUGAGUAUUAAGUGAAGAAAAAAUAUUCAUUUUCUACACUGUUUUAAGAAGUCUUGUUGAAAAUAUGUUCCAGGGUCUGUUGAAGGUGAGUUUUUCUGUGUUAUUUUUACAACUGGUGCUGGGGGUUUCAGGGCCUCAUACAUGCUAAGUAUGUCCUCUGAUACUGAGUUAUGUCCCCAGCCCUAUUUUCUUCACUAAUUUUUUUUUUUUUAUUUCCAGUUAGUUUUAGUCUAAUACAUUUUUCCUUUUUUUUUUUUUUUUUUUUUUUUUUUGUAGUACUGGGAAUCAAACCUCUGACUUCACACUUGCAGGGUUGCAGGGCAGGCAUUCUGCCACUGAACUCCAAUGAGCUAUAUAUCUCCAGCCCAGGCUGAUACCUUUAUAUUUACAAAGUCAAAUAUAAUCAUAGCACUGUCAAAUUCCUAAAAGUUUCUAAAUGAUCUCAAUUUCUGUACUUAUAUUAUCAGAGACUGGUAACAAUUGUGAACCAACAUCAGACUGCAGACCAAAUUUUGAGCAACCGAGUUCUAAGUAACAUUCCAUAAUCAAGUUUUAUAAUUACUAUGCAGAAAAAUAAUAUCUGUGCUAUUAAAUAAAUUUGGAAAGUGUGCAUAACUUCUCUUUGAUAUGCUGAUGUACAUUAUGAAUCUCUAAAAAUUGGAUACAGUAUGUUUUGUAUCCUAGGAAAUUUUCUUUUUAUAGAAUGUUAAGAAUCACUGAUUUAUUCAAAUAUACUUUAAGAGAUUUAGUCUAAAUUAUUCAUCCUAAGGAUAAGAAACAGGUGAUAAUUUCAAUAUAUAAUCAGUUAAUACCCUGCAUACAGAAAGCUGUUUUGAAAGAAAAGUGGGGUAUUUAGUCAAAAGUAGAAUGGGAACCAUAUUUUGUUAUGACUGGAUUUCUAAGCAGGCCCAGUCUGCUUAGUUACAGUCUUCUGUGGGAACUACUUAGGAAAGAUACCACUGACUGUUUCAAAAACUGCAUUAGGAAUAGUAAAAAGGUACAAAACAAGUAAAAGUGAAGAAAUGAGUAAGCACAUACAGUACAUUAGAACUAAUAUGCAGUCACUAAAAUGACAACACUGUUUUUUAAGUAUAUAUUAUUGUUAUGUUAACAUUAAGUGAAUAAACAGAAUGCAGAUAUAGAAUAAUUUUAAUAAUAAGAAAAGAGAUGAGAAAGGAAAUUCCUAAUGGUACUUAUAUUAUGGACUCUGAAGAUUUUUUCUUUCUUUAUAACUACAUCCUAUCUAUAUAGCAUCUACAAUGAGCUAUAUUAUACUAUUAGCAUUUGAUUAAAAAAUUACAUCUCUCAUUACAAAUAAUGCCAGUCCUUUUUGAAUUUUUGAUUUUCAUAAUUAGGAAAUAAAUAAAAAAGGCCACCAACAAGAAUUAUCUUACAACUUUCUUAGGAAGGGAAUGAGUCAUGAUGCAAAUACUCAUAUGAGGUUAGGUGACUGUACAAAUGGUUCAGAAUCUAUUCAUCCUCUUCUGAAAUUACUUCCAAAAAUAACUUUUGGAAACUUUACUUGAUUUUACCAAUCUGAGAUCAGAGUAUACAAGUGAAUAGCACCUGCCCUAUGAACUGUUCCUUUUUUUCUAUUCCAUUGUUUAUUUUUAGAAUAUUUAGUUUUCAACUCCUGGAUUUGAAACAAAAAAUUACUCAACUAUGUCAACUACAUCAAAUGGUUACUAUUAUUGUAGAAAGAUAGGAAAAUUUGGAGAACUUGGAUAGUAAUAAGGAAGUGAUGGAGCUACAUUGUUGAAAACAACAGUUUUCCCAUCAUUUAUAGAAUCCUUUUGGAGAAUGUAUGUUUCAAAAUAUAUUCAAAGAACAUCUCUGAAGGCCUCUUAUAUGCCAAAAACUACUAGCUGAGGAUAGACAUAUUAAUAAGAAAUGGCCAGGCAUCCUAGUAGGGAGGGAUGAGUGUCUUUUAUUUUUGUGUCACAACAAUCACACCACGACUGCCUUCGUUUACAACAAUAUAAUUUUCUCAUUUCCCAUUAUUUGAAUACAUCAGCACUAUGCAUUUUAGAGCACAGAUCUUAUAAAGCCAUGGACAUUAAUUGAUAAGAAUAAACAUCACCAUUCUAUGCCCCUAAUACUUUGAAGAGAGAAAUAAAAGCAGAUCAUUUGAGUAAGUCUGAUAAACACUAAGAUGCUGGGUAAAUUGAUGGUGCUACUGGAGCACUUAGCUAAGCUGGGGAAUUUAGAAGACUUUUUGAAAGAUAUGAUGCCUGAACUCAGUCCAAGAUGAGUAGAAUUCAUCCUAGCUGAAUUUAUUCUGUAGCAUCUUAGGAGCUAUACAAAAGUUCUUAAGUGUGAAGGUGAUAGGAUUAGGUUGCCCUUUAGAAAGAUCCCUUUGGUUUUAUGAUGGAUUAUAGAACUACAGAGGGUUCGAUUGUAGCAACUUGUGCAAGAAAUGAUAAGAACCAGAAAGAAGGUAAUGAUAAUAGAAGUGAAAGGAGGGGAAUAGAUUUUUAAAGUUUUAAAACGGAUUAGAAAGAAUUGGAUUCUGAGGGGCUGAGGUUGUAGCUUAGUGGUAAAGCAUUUGCCCAGCUGGUGUGAGGCACUGGGUUCAAUCCUUAACACCACUUGAAAGCAAAUGAAAUAAAGAUAUUGUGCCCAUCUACAACUUAAAAUAAAGAAAAAGAAAAAAGAACCGGGUGUCAAGUUAAAUGUGAAGCAAGAUGAUAGCAUGAUUUAUUGAAACAUUCAUUGAGAUAGGGAAACAGGUUGGCAUUCAAGAUUGGAUAGGAAUUUGGAAUAGGAAGGCAUGUGUUCUACCCAGGAGUCUCCAGGUGGAACUGUCCAAAAGCAGAUAGGUAUAAAGGUCUAGAUCCUAUCAAUAAAUAUGUUUUAAAUAAAGAUUUGGCUUCAUUAGCAUGUAGUGAAUGACUAAAGUGAAGAAAGUGGUUGAGAUGAUCCAGGAAAGAUGUAGAAUGAGGAGAUAAUUAUUAAUAUUUUCCCUGGUUAUAUUUUGUUUUCUGAAUCAAUAUCUUUGAAUAUUUAGUUAUUUUUUUUCCUUAAUUAUUAUCUCUUCCUUCUUUAGGCUAUUUUUUAAAAAGUAGUCUAUCUAUUAAAAAACAUAAAAAUUAGGCUUUUUCAAGAAGUGAUAAAUCUGGGAGUAUAGAUAUUUAAUAGUGUAAUGCCAGUUAGAGCAGAUUUCCUUUUCUAAUGGGUGGCUUCCCUCUGAAAUUCAGUGUAUCAUUUUAAUAGACAAUUUGGUUUAUUAUUAAAAACACAAUCUCUUCAAAUUGUUGUUAAUAUUUAUAAUAUGAAGAAAAUGCAGGGGCUCCGUGAUGGAGUACUCCCCUAGCAUGCCUGAAGCACUGGGUUUGAUCCUCAGCACCACAUAAAUAUAAAAUAAAGAUAUUGUGUCCACUUCAAACUAAAAAAUAAAUAUUAAAAAAAAGAAAAUGCAUAUGCUUCAUUCUUUGAGGCAUUGCAUGAUUUUUCCUCUGCUCUUUAACAACCUCAUGUAUGAAUAAUCAACCCUGAAUGUAUUGAUAUGUAGAGAGAGGUAUGAAGUAUGUUCUGCUUGUUCUAGUCUUCUUGAAUGUGCUCUCCCUCAAUCAUAACUUGAACAUGGACCUCAAUAUUGCAGAGUGUUGUAGUGUACUUGGGUUUUUACAGGUAUUCAUCACUAACGGCUGGCUAAGUGAUGUUGUGAUUGUAGUCGCAAUCACAAAUCGUGAAGCUCGCUCUCCCGCCCAUGGCAUUAGCCUUUUUCUGGUAGAAAAUGGAAUGAAAGGAUUUAUUAAAGGACAGAAGCUACAUAAAAUGGGAUUAAAAGCCCAGGUAAGUCAUGGUAUAAAUUUUAUUCAGAUAAUAACUGAGGUUAUUAUCAUUGAAAAUAAGAUAUAUAGAGAAUUACAUGUGGUACAAUCACAACUGCCUAUCUGAAUUUCUAAAAUGUUUUUCAAAAAUGGUAGUGGAGAUUCAUUUUCAGUAAUGCCACUAUAUCUCUUUCUAGUAUUCAGCAGUGGGAAUGAAUUAGGAUAUUUUGAAAAUCUGAUUUAGAAAUGGCAAAAUUAGAGCUGAACAUGGUGGCACAUGCCUGUAAUCCUAGUUGCUCAGAAGGCUGAGGCAGGAUUACGAGUUUGAGGCCAACCUGGGCAACUUGAUAAUACCCUGUCUCAAAAUUUAAAAAACGAAGAAAAAAAGGACUGGGAGUAUAGCUCAGUGGGCAUGCACAAAACCCUGGAUUCAGUCCCCAGAUUUAUUUAAAAAAAAAAAGGAAAUGGAAAAAUUAACUGCAUGCUUUAAUAAACCAUCUAUAUGAAAAUUACUGAAGAAAAUUAUGAAGAACAGAAAAUAUUUUUCUAUACACUACCAAAGAAAAUGUUUUGCUUAAUAAGUAUUAGAAAUUUCCACUUCGCAGUUCCUAGAAAGCUGGACAGUAUUAGAGCUUGAAUGACAGGGCAUUGCAGUGGGAAAACCAUAGUUUUAGAAUUAGAAGGACCUGGAUUUGAAAUCCUUGUUUUACCCCUUACUACUUAUGUUCACUAACCACUCCUACAUGGCUUCUAAUUUGGUUCUUUUUUUGUUUUGUUUUCCUUGAAUGGAAAUAAUAAGUCUCUUCACUGGGUUAUAAUGAAACAUAAAUGACCUCAUUCACCAGUCAAUUGUAUGGUCUUUUAGGAUACUGCAGAACUGUUUUUUGAAGAUGUCCGAUUGCCAUCUAGUGCCUUACUUGGAGAAGAGAAUAAAGGCUUCUACUAUCUCAUGCAAGAGCUUCCACAGGUCAGAAAUGUUUGAAGAGUCCAUCUAUUGAUUAGAUAUUGGACUGGAGUAGAAUAAUAUAGAACUAUCUAAAUUAAUGUGUGUAGAACUUGUGGAAAAACAGUCAUUUGCAUAUAAAGUUAUAAAAGAGAGCAUGAAUGUUACAUGUAAUCGAGAUAAAUAAAUAACUGAACUCAAAAAUAUCUAACUGAAGCUUAUAAAGUGAAUAGGGAAAUUAGGUAUUUAGUUCUGUGAUGCCUUCUUGAAAUGAUUUCCACUCCUUAACUACAAGUUAUCUCUUUGAGGAAAAAAAAAAAGAACUUAGUUCUUUGUAAGGAAAUGUCACUGAAUACAUUUGGCAGUUUUUAAAUAACUGGAAUCAAAGGGAAAAUGUGUUAAGUUCAGACAGAAGAGUUUUGUCACAUAGAGUAAGUAUCCAUAUCUGUGUUUUGGGAAUGUGGCUGCCUAGUGAUCAUUGAGUCUCACAUGUCAGCUUAAGGGGAUACCUUUGCCUGUUGACUGCAUGGCAUGGGCUAAAUUUGUAAUUAGGGAAAAAGAGGUAGGGAUACUAGCACUUAAAUAGAAUAUGAAAAUCAUUAGCAUGAUGAAUUAAGCUGGUUAAAGUUGCUUGUACUAAUAGAUAGAAUUUAUGCUAUGCACUUUAAAAUGUUGAUUUCCAUGGAUAAAUUAAGUUAUACAGUGCCCAGGGAUCAAAAAAUAAAAGUCAACUAUGGAAUUCCUUUACUCAUGUGAGUAAAGAGAAAACUUAAAUAAAUUACAUACACGUGUAUGUAUAUAUGUGUACAUAUAUAUAUAUAUAUAUAUGUAUGUUUAUAUGUAUGUGUAUAAGUAUAUAAAUAUGUAUAUAUAUAUAUGUGUGUGUAUAUAAAAUAAAGCCAGUCAUUCAUAAAAGAAAGGAUUUGCUCUAGAGCUUUGGAAAAUUAUUUUUAAGAUACAUCAAAAUAAUCUCAAAUCUCUGUGGGAGCCUUUUCUUAUAAAGAGUUAAGAAAUAAGUUAAUCUUUAGCAGAUUGUUUAUAGGAUUUAUUAGAAUUGAAAUUGUCUGAAAGUCAUUUGUGUAAUUACAGUAAUGUUUAAGACUUAAUUUUGGGGUUAUAGGAAAGGCUGUUAAUUGCUGACUUGGCAAUUUCAGCCUGUGAAUUUAUGUUUGAAGAAACCAGGAACUAUGUUAAACAACGAAAAGCUUUUGGGAAAACGGUUGCACACAUACAGGUAAGCUUAUUGUUCUUGUUAUGAUUUAGCAUUAGAUGAUAUCAUUUUACUCAUCUGAGCAUUCCAAAUUUUGAACCCUUUAGUUUCUUCCUAAAUGAAGGAACAGUGUAAAGCAAUGUGGUCAUCAGCAUCCCACUAGCAAGAAAACUCGAGUUGGGAUUCUACCUUUAAAUUUUUUAAGUAAAAUGAUUUUGGCAGGAAGACUUUGUGGAGAGGUAGAGAUGAAGCAUGGGGAUGGUGUUUCAUUACAAAGAUAAUGCUCAGUGUGGUUUAAGUCCUGCAUAGCUCCUGAUAUCUUUAUAGUCAAUGUGAGUUAUGUCUUCUUUCUCAAAUAUUUUCCUGUUUGUGAGACAUGUAAAAUAUAUUUGGUAUAUAAAAUUGUAAGGUUUUACAAUUUCAAAAUCUUAAGAUUUGUUAGAUUUAUAAUAUUUACUCACAAAUAGAAAUAUCUUCUUAUUUAUGAAUAAAGUCAGUAGCUACCUCAUAAGAUUACUGUAGAGGAUUCAGUGGGAUAUAAUACACAUAUAGUGUGUAGAAUAUUGCCUGGAAAAACUAGCCCUCAAUGAAGUUAGCUGUUAUUUUUGCCCCUAUGUAAUGCUUUGCUGUUUUGUUUCCAUAUAGGGGGCUUUUUCUUUUAAAUAAAUCAAUUUCUUGGUCUUGCUUCUGUUCCUGAUGUGGAUCUUCUAUAUAUCUUUCUGGGAACUAUUUGCUACCUAUGUAAUCUUCAAGUUAUAUUUUUUCCAUACUGAGAAAAAUAUUACAUCUUAUCUUAUUGAAAUGCUAGCCUAAAACAGUUGUUCAGAUCUAUACAAAUGAGGCAUACAUGCAAAUCAAAAUUACAAUUUAAAAAAUGGCAUGACUUGAUUUAGAUAAAUUGUGAUUUUCUUAGGAACAAGGCUGUUAUAUUUUAUAUUCCCUUUCAUUUUUGAAUCACUGAUUUGCUUUUCUGUGGUUCCUUGAUGACUGCACUCUCCCCUAGGGCAUUUAGAAAGGUCAAGGAUGGGCAGAUGCAUGUUGACUGAAAGUGUAACGUGCUAUACCUUGGAGAGCAGUGUUAAAUGUUCUGUAAAUCAGACAUAGCUUUGUAUUGCAACUAAUUUUCUUAUUCAAAAUACAAAUAAUCUCCUGAGAAGUACCAAUUUAUUGAUUUAUUUCUUUUUGUUUCACAAGCACAUAUUUACCCAUUGCCUUGUAAGGUUGUGCUCAAAUGUAAUUCUAUAGGUGUGACUCUGGAAUACUCAAAACUCCUGGCAAUAUGAAGGAAGUUAUACCACUUGGUAUCACUCUGCAGCUUUCUCCUAUGUACCCAAAGUAGAAUCAGUAUUAUUAUUCCUCUGAAAUUCAACUCCCACAACUUUUCACAUCAAAAAUGUCUAUUAAAAUAUUUUUACACAAUUAGGCCUAAGUCAUGCUAGCAGCAGCCUCCUGCACCUCCUAUUUGAUUGCAUCAAGAGGCUGUGUCAUGCCACCGACCCAUCCCAUCUGGAUUUGUUUAAGUACACUCUGUGAUUGUCACACAUCCAUGAAAGUGCUUAAGGGCAUAUUUCUCAGAAUGUGUCCCCAUUGUUAAGCAAUGUGUGACUGUAUUUAUUUAUUGCACUUUCAUAGCAAAAAGGCAAGAAAUAGUUUUAAUCCCUGCUUUUCAAAACAAGUGUCAUUUGUUACCUUCCCCAAAAGAUAGUUCACUAAAUUUUCAGUAGGUGGCAGUAGGCUUCUGCUUCUACAGAUUCAUUAUUAUUUUCUAGUAAUAUUAUUUUCCAGUAAGUGUAUAUGUUCUGAGAUAUUCUGAGCUAUGCUCUAAUCUUCCCGUUUCUCUAAAAUAAGUAUCUUUGAAUAGAAUUUUCAUAUUUCCAGCUAGGAAUAUAUGCAGAGAAGAUGAAUGGCUAAUACAUCAAUACAUUUCUAUAUCUCCUAUUCUAUAGCUGAACACACUACAAUUGUAAUUCAGCUGAAGUGGAAGAUGAUUACAUCUCCAUAUAAUUGAUUAAAUGUUAUUUUAUGACCAUAUAACUAUUGAGUUUCACUUAUCUUUAAUAUCCUUGAAUUUUGAACAUUUUGGGCCUUUCUGAACUUUUGGGUACAUGUCACAAAAUUCACUUCCUUUUUAGAAUAAAGAGCUACUAUUCUAAAGUAGCAGUAAUUAUAGGAUUUUCAUUUUUUAAAAAAAUCUGUACUCUUCUUAGGUGAUAUCACAGCUCAUAAUUUUCUCUGGAAUAGACAAUACAGUAGUAAAAUGUAUGUUAAAUUAAAAAAAAUGGCUACCUAUAUGCCAGACACUGUGCUAAAUAAAUUGUCUCAUUUUUUUGCCUUCGCAACUGUACAUUAUUAAUAUUAUCAUCUUCAUUUUGCAGAUAGGGAACUUGAGGCAGAAAAAGGUUAAAUAACUUGCCCCAAAUUAUAUAGAUAUCUAAUUCCCCAACCCACACUCUUUUUGCUGCCCAAGGUUUAAAGUAUAUGGCCCUUUUUAUUUUUCCUAUUUCCUUCACCUACUGGUUGGCCAAAUGAAAAUGAAAUGCCCCUUUUUUUUUAACUAGAACUCUUAGUCAUUUCCUGUGUGGAACAUGCUGUUGAUGCUAAGGACACCAAAUAUUUGGGAAAGGAAUAGGAGAGAGGGAAAGGUAACUUGUUUUUCUUCCACAAAUCAAAAAGAAUAUCCUGUUCCUAAGUCCUUGAGUAUAUGAUUAAUUAACUAUAAGAUUAGGUGGUGAACAUAAUUUGUUUUAUAUUAAUUUAAGUCAUAACAUAAUUUGUUUUAUCUUAAUUUAAGUCAUAACAUAUGAUGAUAAUACAACUAACAGUGUUCAAAUGACUACCAGGCUAGAGAACUUUUCAAAUGUGUCUUUUCAUUCUAAAGUUCUAAGAUAUUUAUCAUGCAGAACUCUGAAAGACAUUCUAUCCAGUCUACUUAGUAACUUAAGAACUUUUUUUACAUGCUAGCUGCAGUAUUACCUAUUAGCAAAUUUUAAUGACAGAUAAAGGUACUGCUGAGAACAUGUUGAUCCUUCAAAAAAACACCUGGCUAAUUAUAUAGUUAUGAACUGCCAUUCAUUAGGGAAUAAUUUCAGACAGCAUGACUCAUUGUCUACAGUGAAAAGCAAAGGACAGUUCUGUUUGGUAGCACCUAAUUCAGUUCCAAGAAUAUGUAAAUAUUUAAUCUCUUCAUCUGUAGAGAGUAAAUGAUGUACCCUAGAAGCAUGAAUUUUUUCAGAAAUCUCUGGACCUCACCAAAUGUACUGAAGCAAGAAUUCUAAAUGACUCCAUCCUUGUCUGAAAUUUAACUUAAGCGUCUAGAAUCUCCCAGCAUUUGCAUAGGAACAAGUCUCACUUGAGAGAAUAGGACUCAGAGGUCUUGAUUAUCUCAUAAUGUAAAUAGUGCAUAAAUUUUCAAAUGUGGCAUCAUGUAGGGGCAAGAAUAUUUUGAGACUUAUUGUAUUCCCUUUGCUUUCCAAAUGAAUUAUCAUAGAUAAUGUCCUUGAACUAAGCCAGGAGUGAUCAGUUUUGGGGAUUUUUGUGGAAUAUUUACUCAUGUGUUUCCAAUAUAUAGAGAAGAUUAUUUCCUCACUGUUGAUGUCUUGUUCUAGUUUUAGUUUUCUAUGAGCAAAUUUGAAUGUGAAGAGUGAAUGGGAAACUUUGUUCUGAUUUAAAGGUAGAGAUUUGACCUAAUUAAAUAUUUAGUUAAUAGAAAUGGAGAUAGAAAGAAGUAGAAUGGAGAUAGAACUAGAGGGGAAUCAAGUUUUGACACAGGCCAGCCUGUUGAGAUAAUUAAGGCAAGGAUCGACGCAAAAGUUGUAAGUGUGUGGUGUCAGCCUUCUCAUUACUUGGUUCUGGAAUCAGUAGAUGCCUGUUAUUCUCUGUCUUUCUAGAGUAGCAUUAGGGAUAAAACCAAGGAAAAACUAUCAGUUGGGUUUUUGAUCAGCACAGCAGUUCCAUCUAAGAAGAAACUCUACUUCACCUGGCAUACCCAUAUCUUUCCUUGUCCUAGGUCAUUAUUAUAUGCUCAUUCUUUGAUUUUUCAGAAAUGAAAAGUACCAAAAUUGUCUCCACGAUCAAUAACACUGAAAGAUUCAAUUUUGUGUUUUGACAGUUACUAUAGCCAGCAGUGUAAAAGCAGGCCCAGCAUCCCGUGCGAAUUUAGCCCCACAACCCUCCUUUGAGAACUUAGUCAUGGCUUUGGCCUUAGCAGUAGUAUUUAGGUGGAAUGCUUUUAAUUUCUAAUUUGAGUUUCACUGUAUCACUUUUGUCAUUAACUUCCACAUAUGUGCCUUCUAUUAGCUGGAGUGAAUUUCUCCGAAAUUCCACAACAGAAUGAUCAGAAUUAUUUCUAUCUGGAUUUCCACAAAGAAAACAGAGCCAGCUAACUGGCUGGAUCUCAGGCCUAAGAAGUCAGCUAGAAUAGGAUGUACUUUUGGAGGCAACCCAAAGUAGAAUGUGCCAGUAUUUCAAGUCCUAGCCAGUUUCCUGAGAGUGGAUGCCAGAGUGAACAGAUUAAACUCAAAGUUCAAGAUAUGAGAACCAAAAUCAAGAAUUAAAUGAAACCUGAUUGAAGGGAGAACUGUCAGGAUCAAUUGAGGAUGGUCUAAGUAGAACAAUUUCCAACAGUACUAUUGGUUGUCCAUGGUUAGCAGUUAGGUACAUAAUAUAUUAACACUGACAAUUUCAAACCAUUCAGUUUAAAUUUGAGAUGCUAGACAAACUCUUGAGAGGGAUGGGAGGGAGUAUGAGGAGAGGUGGGAGAGUUAUAGGUUAUUAGACUUUGAUCUCUUGAGUGCUCUGAUUAUUACAUUAUUAAUAUUAUAAAUGGUUAUUAAUAUAAUAUUUAGAUGCUAUUUAUAAAUAUAUAAAACACCCUGCCCUUCCCCAUUGUUACCUUACUUUAUUCCAAGACAGAGGCAGAAUAGGGAAAUGUGUAUACUUAAUUUCAUUAAUGGAGAGUAAAUUUUCAAGGAUUUAGUUUCUGGAGGAAAAUCAACAGCUGUACCUAAAGGACUAUACCACAAGAUGGUGCUCACACAUUAAAGUCAUGCUGGUUGGUUUUCAAGCAGUUUUCUUUAAUGGUCUAAAUUUUAUAAUCUAAAACAUGAGGUGUAAUUUAUGUAUUCAUUUUUGCAUCUUUUAGUACAUGUUUUCUUAGCAUUAAAAUAUACUAUAUUUUGAAUUUAAGGUGAUUAAUAUAUUCUUUUUUAAAAUAGUAAAACCAAUAAUUCCAUUUUUUUUGUUUUGUUCUAAAAAUCUUUUGCUAUAUACUUUUUGAAAUGUGGAGUCAAAAUAUGUACUUUUAUAUGCUCAAUUUUUUUUUCAUUUUCUUUAAACUCAAGACAGUGCAGCAUAAACUAGCAGAAUUAAAAACACACAUAUGUGUAACCAGAUCUUUUGUGGACAGCUGUCUGAAGCUACAUGAAACGAAACAUCUGGAUUCUGCCUCUGCUUCUAUGGCGAAAUAUUGGUAUGCAUGCUGCAGUAAUUAAAAUGUGGUGCUUGCUCAGACUGUUAUGGAAUUUUGCCAUUAAACUCAGCCUUGAGGGUAUUAAGGAAGAAGGCUGUAUAAAUGAAAAAUAGCAGUAGGAAUCAACUUUUAAAAACUGCUGAAACUUCCCAUUAGGCCUGUUUCUAAUAUGCUAAAAAUUACUCAAGUUGUUAAUUUAUAACUUUCUAUUCAAAAUAAAGUAUUAAGAGACUGAAGUAGAAUGACUAAGAUUACUUCAUUCAAGUAAUAGUUUAAUUUCAAAUUAUCUGACAAGUGACAUACAGUGAGGCUGCAAGAGAAAAGCAAAACUUAGGAGUCUUGGAAUUGAUUCUCAGUUCUUCCAUUUGGUAAUUUUAACUAAGUUAAUUUCACUUGGGAUAGCUUCUUGUUAUUUGCAAAAUAAAAUCCAGGAUUUUUAUAAAAUAUCUUUUUUAAAUGCCUUUAUAAAAUGUCUUUUUCCUCCAAAGAUGUCACUUCCUACCUGAAGAUCACAAUUCUGAAUUUUAAUAACUGUGAAAUAAGUUUUUUAGGGUUUUGACUUUUCAGAAAUAAACUGGGGAUAAAAGUGAAAAACUAAAGGGUAGACUAGUAAAGUACAUUUAAAGUACCUGGAUGGGAUUUUUCUGUUUCGUUAUUUUUCAUAUCUUAAAAAGAAGUAUUGAAUUAUUAACUAAUCAAAAGUUGUACAUGUUUUAUUAAAAUGAAAGGGAAAAAGUUUUACAUUUAGAAAGAUUUAUAAGAAUUUAAGAUUAACAGUGAUGUUAAAGAUGAGUUAAUUGAAAAACAACCCCUUUCAAGGCUUUUGUGUAUGUUAAGAUGCAAGAAUAUGGCUGGGGUUGUGGCUCAGAGGUAGAAUGCUCACCUAGCAUGUGUAAGGCCAUGGGUUCGAUUUUCAGCACCACAUAAAAAUAAAUAAAUAAAAUAAAGGUAUUAUUUCCAACUACAACUAAAAAAAUAGAUAUUAAAAAAAGAUGCAAGAAUAUAUAAUCUAAAUUAGAUUGUAGAAGUGAAUUUGGUUUCCUCUUUUUGAAAACAUUCUCACAGCUCAUUAGUCCCAAAGUAGACUAGAAAAAAUUCUUGUCAUUCAUUAACGUGGGUUCAGUUUAGUCAUAAAUAGAAUAGGGGAAAUAUGUAGAAUAGUGCCUUAUAUAAUGAUUCCUUAAUAAUAAAAUUGUUGAAUUGAAAAAUGUGGAAUUACUAGGAACUUGCACUUUUAGGGAGACUUUUACAUUUAUAACAAGUUCUUUGACUAGAGGGAAAAGUAAAAAAAAAAAAAUUAGUUAUUUUUGGGAAAAUAGAAAUUUGCAUAGGUGUUGACCUUGGUCUUUGAAUCCAGCAGGUUUAUAAUGAUAUUUAACAUUGAAGCAGAAAGAGCAAGUUAUUAUAGCCCAGCCAAUAUUUCCAUUAAAAUAUUUGCCAAAUAAAAAAAAUUGAAUCACAAAUAUUAUUGCCCCAAGAGAUUUGUCUGUUAAUCAUUAUAUUGUUAAUGUAUUUCUAAGGAACACAAUCACCUGUCCUAUGGCUUGAGUUAAAAAUUAUUCUAAAUAGUAAAAUGUGUCUAUGUUUAACUUUACUUUGUAUUUCCCACUAUUGAAAAAUAAGCAGGAACAAAUUUUAAAUAGCUUACAUUUUUGUUUUAAGUGGCAUAAAAUUCCUACCGGUUAUCUGAUGGAUUUUUAUGAUAGUUAAAAUUGUUACUGGGUAGACUCCGUAGUAGUAGCUCUUUCUCACCUAGCAUGCUUGAGGCUCUGUGUUCCAUCCUCAGCCAUGUGCAACAAACAAAAUUGUUGUGGUAAGAUCAGAAAAUACUUUUUCCCAAGUUUUUCAUAUUCAUUUUUCUCUCUUCCUCUCCCACCUUCUUCUCUACCUCCAGAAAUAAAAAUCCCCAAAUAAUUUUUUUUGGGGGGGGUGGUAUGGAGAUAGAAUUCAGGGGCAUUGACUAAUGAGCCACAUCCCCAACCCUAUUUCGCAUUUGAUUUAGAGACUGAGUUGCUUAGCACCUCGAAGUUGCUGAGGCUGGCUUCGAACUCAAGAUCCUUCUGCCUCAGCCUCCCGAGCUGCUGGGAUUACAAUUAUGCCCCACCAUGCCUGGUCCCAAAUAAUUUUUUAAUGUUUCCUUUAAAACAUUAAAUGUACUUUUCUAGUCUACCUUUUUAGUUUUUCACUUUUAUCCCCAGGUUAUUUCUGAAAAGUCAGAACCCUAAAAAACUUAUUUCACAGUUAUUAAAAUUCAGAAUUGUGAUCUUCAGGGAGGAAGUGACGUUUUUGGAGGAAAAAGACAUUUUAUAAAGGCAAAAAGAACUAGAUAAUUGAAUAAUGUAGAUCAUACAGAGCAUCUGCAUGAAUCAGACUUAAUUCAAGUCUUUACUAUAUCCUUUUAAGCCAAAAAAUAGCCAAAACCUAAUAAUAUGAGUUUUCCACAUUUGUUUCUAACCUCAAUAAAAAACCAGCCAGAAAUAAAAUUGUGGGUUGUAUUUUUUAUGUGAAAAUUCUCUUUAUUUCCUGUGUAAUUUUUAUCCUCUGUUCUGCUUGUCUAAUGUUUCUAUUUGAAUUGCUUGAAUAAGUGAGUGCAUUUAAACAAUUAUAAAUAGUUCAUUUCCUGAUUAUAAAGCACCUCAUGGAAAUCCCCUUCAAACAUUUCUGUUUUUAUGUCGGUCAUCUAGGGCAUCAGACUUACAAAACAGCGUUGCUUAUGAAUGUGUACAGCUCCAUGGAGGCUGGGGAUACAUGUGGGAGUACCCAAUUGCAAAGUGAGUACAUUUGCUCUGUUAUUCUCCUCUUAAUCACAUGAAUGAAAGAAAAUUUUACUGUACUAUUUGUACAUAAAAUAUAGAGGGAAAGAAGGUAUGAAAUCUUGGCAUUUUUCAACUAUCUAGGGAGAUGUUCACUCAAAUGGAAGCAGCUUUCUUUUAUUGACUCACCACUAGGAUCUUGAUAUUUUUAAAGAAAGUGAAGAGGCUAAUAUAUUGAAGCUUGAUACUUGUCUUUGAAGGAAAUAUAUUACUUUUUAAUUUAUUUUAAUUUGUUGUGCGUCCAUCGUGCUGGGGAUCAAACCUUGCCCAUGCCAGGCAAGCAUUCUACCACUGAGCUACACUCCCUGCUGCUUUUAAAAAACAAACAAAUGCAGUACAAAUAAUUAACUUGCAUACUGAAAGGAUCUAAGAUGUCAUAUUUUAGUCAGGUGUGGUGGCACAUACCUGUAAUCACAGCAACUUGGAAGUUGAGGCAGGAGGAUCACAAGUUCAAGGCCAGCCUCAGUGAUUUAAGGAGAACCCUCCUCAAAAUAAAGUCUGGAGAUGUAAUGCAGUGGUACAUUUAACCUGGGUUAAAUCCCAGUACAAAAAAAAAAAAAAAAAAGAUGUCAUACCUUAAUUAGUUGAUUAUUUAUUUUGCUCUGAAAAAUAAACCAAAUGUAUUUGACUUUUUUACAGAUUGAAUUUUUACCUCUUUAAAUUAAAGGAGAUAAUAUAUAUGUUUUUAUUGUAUUACACAUGACUACUCUUAGCUUGAGACAGUAUCAUUUGUAAAUAGGCAGUAUUUUAUUCCAGAUUUUUUCCCUCUAUCUCCAUAAUUUCUUUUCUUCAUCCUGUGGUCUUCUACCUCUCAUUACACUUCUCAUUAUAGUAGAAAAUGUAUUUUUCCUUUUAUUAAUGGUAUUUUCAGUUCAUAAAAUUUUUCCAAGGAAGUUUUUGGUAUACAUAGAAAAGUCCAAUAUAGUUGUGAAUAUGAGAAUUAGAAUGCUUUGGGCUUCUAAAAAUUUUUUCUAAUUUUUAUCUGAAGGGGGAAAAUUAUCAAACUGGUAUUCAAUCUGUCAGCCUAAUGUUUUUUAAUUUAUCGUUUUGACAAGUAUACUUGGAAACAUUUGAUAUGUCUAGAAUCAUUAUUGAGGAAACAUUUUAUUAAGUUUCAUUAAGUUAAGAACAGAAGCUUCAGCCUAGAUAAUGAUUUGCUGAUUUUCUCUAGUCAUUGGGCAGUUCAGAAAGCUUUGAUUACUAAGUAUAUAUAAUUUAUAACUAUUUAUGGGAAUUUAGCAACAACCAGAGGUUGGUUUUAUUUUUUUGUCCUUGAGAAUACAGGUGUAAAGUAGCUAACUUAUUUCUCUUUCUCUUUUUUUAAAUCUUGGAUUUUGGUAUAUUCUUUCAGAGAAUUUCUUCAAAUAUGCCUUAAUGAAAAACGGAUUUUAAAAAAAUAUAUCUGUGUAUAAUCAUGAAAUCAGAAAUAAGCUUUGAGUUAUGCCAGUACAAACUUAAUCAUCAUUGGAAUUUUUACUGUGUAUUUUUGUGUUUUACUCCCAUUAUCCAUCUAUCUUAAUUCAUAAUAUUCAGAAUGCUUAGAAAGUAAAAUAAUACUGGAUGUUUAUAUAUUUCUGCUUAACUGUGUUGUUACAACUGAUGCUGGGAAUGUAGACAUGGAGUGGUUCAGUGUUUGUGUAGUUCAAGUUCUUAGAAACCCAUAUAAGGGGGACAGGAGUUAGCCAUCUCUGUGGUUUAAGAUUAGGGUGUAUAAACCAGGGUGGUGCAUACUUGAGUAUCAGCAACUCAGGAGGCUGAGGGAAGAGGAUCACAAUCAGAGUUCAUUCAUUCAAGUCAGUAGCAAGAAAAACUGUAGUUUGAUGUCCUUUUUAAAAUCCCUGAUUUUAACUUAAAAGACAUUUCCUUAAGAAAUAAUAAUUACCCUUCUUGGCCAGUUUAUUAGUUCAGUGUGUCUAUAUAUCUAGAUUGCUAUGUUUUUUCCCCAAAGACAUAGGGAAUCCUAAUAUCCCCUAAUAUAAAAAAAAAAAUCCUGUUAGAUCUGUUAGGCAACAUAUUAAUAUAGUAUACAGGCUUCAGUUUAAGAAAAGAAUAUCCCACUUAUGUUUCUUUGUCCCCCAGAUUAAGCUACAUUAUUUGUGUGUAUGUGUGUGUGUGUGUGUGUGUGUGUGUGUAUAUAUAUAUAUAUAUAUAUAUAUAUAUAUAUAUAUAUAUGUGAAUGACUGAGUGUUGGUUUCACAGAUAAAAGAAGUGGUUUGUUUUCCCUUGUUAUUUGUUUUGUUGCUGUCAUUGUUUUUAAUAACUAGUUUUUCAGCAUGUGGGUUUAUUUCAGUCUUAUUCAUUAGGCUUGGGUCCAUGAGAAGUGAGGUUUAAGCUUGGGCAAGUGUUUGAAAAUUUCUUUGUCAGGCUAGGAAAGAGCAGCCUGAGAUGGAGAGCCUGGUUGCAGUAUGGUUAAACAUUUCUUCUGCUGCCUUUCUCUGUUAAUUUUAGUUGAUGACUAAAUUUAAUUAGUAACCUAUAAAAGGUAUACUGAUCUCUGGUGUUACAUACUCUGUUGGAACUUCUUUCGUGUGAAAAAAAAAAAACACAAUGCCUAACUCAGUUCAAAAGUGCUGAAAAGCAUUGGGAGUGUUGAAGUAGGCUAAAAUGCCAGGAAGGUCCUUGAAAUGCAAGUGUUUGAUUUUGUGGGGAAACCCAAAGCUUGUCCAGAAAAAAAUGCAUUUGAAAACAUAAAUGUCUCUAACUUUUAAAACUUUUACUAGAAAGUACUGAGAUUGUAAAAUUCCUUUGUAAUGUGGUAAGUCACAUCAGUAUUUGCUGAGUGCCUACUUGUUUACAAGGUAAUAUGAAUAUAGAACAGCACAAGUCCAACAUUGGUCAUGCUCCUAGAGAAAUGCAGAUUGAUUGAUUGAUUUUUAAUUUUUUUGUAGUUGUAGAUGGAUAACACACCUUUAUUUUAUUUGCUUAUUUUUAUGAGGUACUAAGGAUCGAACCUAGUGCCUCACACAUGCUAGGCAGGUGUUCUGCUACUGAGCUACAACUCCAGCCCAAGAAAUGCAGAUUUAAUUUGUCUUAAAAAUUAAAUAAUUUUUUAAAAUAUAGAUUUUAUAUAUGAGAAAAAAAAAUGCCUUUCAAUGUCUACUAGGAAGGUUCAGAGCUCAACAACUAGCCCCACCUGGACCAAUGACAGUAUUGUGACAUAAUGAAAAAGAUAUUUGCCAUAGAGGCAGGAUACCUCAUUCUCAAUCCAGUCUGCCAAUUUUCUGUUAUGUGACCACUAAAUUGUAACCACUAAUUAGUAAAUGUAUUAACUUCUCUGAAUCUCACUUACCUUACCUAUAAAACAAUAAUGUUUAUCUCCCUAAGCCCAGAACCAAGAGGUUAAACUGAAAUGAGAAAAGGUAAAAAUAGCUAUACACUGGCAUGGUAGCUAUCAUGGCCAUCAAAAGUGAACUCCUGACUGUGUGUGUGACAGUCUCACAGUAGACUCAAGACACUUAGUACUUGAACUCCACACAUCUGUGACUGUUAAUCAUUUCCAAAAAAUAAGUUCCUUGUUAUCUUUGUGGUAAGUAAUAUUUUCUAGAGCAUCAAUUAUAUUCCCAGUGGUGGUACUGGGAAAGUAAUUUCUCAGUUUUUGUCUUUAUAAGCAGUGGGUUUCAAUUUCCUGAGAAACAUUAAAGAUAACAAUAAAUUAAGAUAUUCUAUGCAAUUCUAAAUUUAAAACAGACUUUUCAGAAUGCUAUUAUGUAUAUAUUGAAUUUUACAAAAUUAAAUCAGGUGAAACAUAAAUGUUACUUUGAAUUUAUAAUCUCAUAAAGCAAACUAAAACAAAGCUACAUAAAUUAUCAAUAUCUUAGUAGUUGUUUAUUUUUUUAUAUCUUUAUUUUAUUUUUAUGUGGUGCUGAGGAUAGAACCCAUGCCUCACACAUACCUUUGAGCCACAACCCCAGCCUUCUUAGUAGGUUUUUUAAUAUGCCAAUUUAGUAUGAAUACUGUACUAAAAAAGCAUGAAUAACUGUUAUUGCUUAGAUUUCACUAAAAUGAAUAAUAUUUUCCUGGCAAGAUGAAAUUUAGAGUUUCUAAUAUAUUUUAUUUACAUAAAUUCAACCAUCUUCUAAUUUAUCCAGAGCUUAUGUGGAUGCCCGUGUUCAGCCAAUCUAUGGUGGUACCAAUGAAAUAAUGAGGGAGCUGAUUGCAAGAGAUAUCGUCAGUGACAAGUAGACAUCUGCCCACAUCCUGGAAUCCUAUUACAGCUAAUCUGGUUUUAAAUCUACUUAAGAUAAAAUGAAACCUGGAAGGAGGGGAAAUGCUAAAUAUGUUUUUUAUGUGCCUUCUGUGUAGAGAAAGAAAUCAAAUAUAAAUACAAUAUUAACAGUGGAAGGAGAAAUAUCUGAAUCCAAAGAGUAAAAUUCUCCUGUGAAGGUUUUACUUUUAAGUUUUUAUAUUGUUAAAGGUCAAAAUUUUUCUGACUCUAGAAGCCUUAAUGUUUCAUUUAUCUCUACAAUUUUUAAAAGCAUAAAUUGCUUAAAUCCCUAAAAUUGAGGCAGAAUUAAUUUACAUAUGAUAUACUACUUUAAAAGCAUUAAUAUUACUUCACAGUACAUGGACUUUUAAAGGGAAAAAUAAAUCUAACUUAGACUAUGAAGACAUUUCAGCUACCUUUUGCUCCAGAUUCUCUGGAAUAUUGGUUCCUACCAUGCUACCAUCAAGUUCUUUUUAAGCAACCCUUCUUGGAAACAGAUCAUCACAUUGUACCCUAUAAAUAUGUCCAGUCAUUGUGUAUCAAUUAAAAAUAAAGUGAAACUUUAAAAAGAAAACAAACUUUGUGUAGAAUGUCUCUUGGAAAGCCCUUAGUGAGGAGCUGCUCUGGUUAAAGCAGGAAGCCCUCCUACCUCCUGCCUUGACAUUCCUGGGACUCACCUGAAGGCUGUUGCCUAACCGGGACCACAGAAUGCUCUUAGUUCUCUUAGGAUGAUGCCUGGACUUUCAGUAGACUUCCAUUUCAGUUUAUAAUAGGACACAGACUUCAUCAUAUUUACAUUUCAAGAUACUGGUAAGUAUCAAAGCAGUAGCUUUUAUUUUGUAAGAAUAUAAUUUAUUGAUUGAUUUAACAAAUACUUUGUAUCUUCUAUAAACCAGGCUGUUAAAAAUAUAACAGCAAACAAACUGGUAGUAAUAAAUCAUACAGGAAAGAAAAGAAACAAGACUAUCAAAUUAUAUUAAUUGUAAUAAAAGAAAGUUAGCAUUAAAAAUAAAGUAAGGAAAUCACACUUGAUUUGAGAGUUAAAAGUAACUUAUAAAAAAUAAACCAUUAUUUGUAAACUGCUAACAUCAUUUCAGUAAUUGUUCUUUGCAUAUACUGGUGAAUCAGUGAAUAAAACAGCUUAAAAAAGUAAAUAGGUGUACUCUUGUUCAACUUAAAAAACUUAAAGUUAUAUUACCAUUACAGUGGGGUAGAGCAGAGAGAAGAGAUAGAUUUCUUCAAAGUAUACAGCUUUGAUUUUUCUUUUCAGCAGACGUUCGCUAACCAUGUUAGGUUCUUUCUCAUAUGCAUUAAUUACCAUGCGAAAUGGGUUAAAAUAAGUUUUUAUUAAGUGUUACAUUAUUUGAAGUUUUUACCUCCUUCUUAGAAUCAAGAAGUGAUAAAAAGGAUUUGACUAGACCUUCCCUCCACCCCUACCCCCACCACAGACCCCUUUUCUUUUCCCAUUCCCAAACUUAUGGAAACUAGAUUUUAUGAAUAUAUUAUCUGUAAAUAAAAUAGAAUAGGAAAAGCCUGUAGAGGUGGACAGAUCUGGGCUUGAGUGAUGACUCUACUAUUUAGGAUCCAUUCAUUGGACCUUGGACAACUUCUUACAUUUCUUCAGGUGCAAAUUAUAAAAACUCCAUUCAAGCCAUUAUAAGGAAAAUACUUGAGUGUUGUGGUUUAAAAGGAUUACAGACUAGUCACAACAGUUCAAAUGUUAGCUGUAGUGGCUAGGGUUUCAAGGGCCUGGUUCUAGAGUUUAGAACUGUCUGCACUUUCCCUAAAUCCACUUCUUUCUAGUUUUCUUUGCAAAUUGGUCUAAAGGACACUGAAGAAGAUCUUCAUUAUGAGAUGUUGGACUAUUCUAUCCCUGCAUCCUUUAGCACAAUGUCAUAAGUUAGGGGAGAGAUGUACUAUGAUUGACAGCCUCAUCAGGAGUGCAGGGACAGGGGUAGCAGUUACUAAAGCAGAGGGUGUAAUUAUCAAAAGAAAGGGAACAAAAAAGUCUGCCAAGCAGAUCUAAAUAAUCUUUCCCUCCUUCCUUCUCUCUCCCUCUCUUACACAGUUAUAAAGUUCUAUUUAUUCUUAUAUAUAUUAAAAAAUGAAUGGAUAUCCAAUUAUGUUUUCUAAAAGUAAUCAGAUUAUUUUCUUUCUUUUAAAUUGGUAGUUUUCUUUACCUUACCGCCUUCAGUCUUGUAUACCCUCAAAAGAAGCAUGUGUUGAAUCAUGGACUUAAAAACUAAAAGAAGUGCUGGGUCCGUGGCGCAGGCCUGUAAUCCCAGCGGCUCUGGAGGCUGAGGCAGGAGGAUCUUGUGUUCAAAGCCAGCCUCAGCAAAAGCAAGGCACUAAGCAACUCAGUGAGACCCUGUCUCUAAAUAAAAUACAAAAUAGGGAUGGGAAUGUGGCUCAGUGGUCAAAUGCCCCUGAGUUCUAUCCCUGGCACACCACCCCCCAUCAAAAAAAAAAAAAAAAACUACAAAAAAAAAAGGGGAAUUCAGAAUAUAUUUCUUAACUUUUCAUUUGAUUUUUGUUUCUUAAACAGCUAAUCUUUGUGUAUUGCUUGUGUGUUGUCCCCUCAGGAGAAAAUUUUAUCAUCUACAUCUCAUGCUGUGAUGAGGAAUCAAGAAACAGUAAAUAAUAAUAAUGUUCAAAAGAACAGGCUGGAUUGACACAGCAAGAAAGCAAACUAUGUAAAUGUUAAUGAGAAUUUAAAGGCCUAGUCAUUUGAGGUUUUGG
rnacentral:lncRNA from 1 species